rnacentral:rRNA from 1 species
AGUCUCGUAGGUGACCUGCGGAGGGAUCAUUACACAAUAAAAUACGAAGGCCGUUCGCGGCUGGACUAUUUAUUACCCUUGUCUUUUGCGCACUUGUUGUUUCCUGGGCGGGUUCGCUCGCCACCAGGACCACAAUAUAAACCUUUUUUAUGCAGUUGCAAUCAGCGUCAGUAUAACAAAUGUAAAUCAUUUACAACUUUCAACAACGGAUCUCUUGGUUCUGGCAUCGAUGAAGAACGCAGCGAAAUGCGAUACGUAGUGUGAAUUGCAGAAUUCAGUGAAUCAUCGAAUCUUUGAACGCACAUUGCGCCCUUUGGUAUUCCAAAGGGCAUGCCUGUUCGAGCGUCAUUUGUACCCUCAAGCUUUGCUUGGUGUUGGGCGUUUUUGUCUUUGGCCCGCCAAAGACUCGCCUUAAAAUGAUUGGCAGCCGGCCUACUGGUUUCGCAGCGCAGCACAUUUUUGCGCUUGCAAUCAGCAAAAGAGGACGGCAAUCCAUCAAGACUCCUUCUCACGUUUGACCUCGGAUCAGGUAGGGAUACCCGCUGAACUUAAGCAUAUCAAUAAGCGGAGGAAC